GAUGAACGCUGGCGGCGUGCCUAAUACAUGCAAGUCGAGCGAACGGACGAGAAGCUUGCUUCUCUGAUGUUAGCGGCGGACGGGUGAGUAACACGUGGAUAACCUACCUAUAAGACUGGGAUAACUUCGGGAAACCGGAGCUAAUACCGGAUGAUAUUUUGAACCGCAUGGUUCAAAAGUGAAAGACGGUCUUGCUGUCACUUAUAGAUGGUUCCGCGCUGCAUUAGCUAGUUGGUAAGGUAACGGCUUACCAAGGCAACGAUGCAUAGCCGACCUGAGAGGGGGAUCGGCCACACUGGAACUGAGACACGGUCCAGACUCCUACGGGAGGCAGCAGUAGGGAAUCUUCCGCAAUGGGCGAAAGCCUGACGGAGCAACGCCGCGUGAGUGAUGAAGGUCUUCGGAUCGUAAAACUCUGUUAUUAGGGAAGAACAUAUGUGUAAGUAACUGUGCACAUCUUGACGGUACCUAAUCAGAAAGCCACGGCUAACUACGUG
rnacentral:rRNA from 1 species